ACAACAGACCCUGGGGUCUGGAUUGAGGACUACAUCCUCCAUAUACAUAUGGCUCGAGGAGAUGAUCUCCACGCCAUCAACUACUUACCCCUGAAGCUCAAAGGGCCAGCUCAGCACUGGCUUAAAAGCCUCCCCGAAAACUCCAUCGGAAGCUGGGAAGAGCUCGAAGACGCCUUUCGGGCAAAUUUUCAAGGGACAUAUGUCCGACCACCGGAUGCAGACGAUUUAAGUCAUAUAACUCAACAGCCCGGUGAGUUAGCCCGAAAACUUUGGAACAAGUUCCUCAUUAAAAAGAACCAAAUAGUCGACUGUCCGGAUGCCGAAGCCUUAGUAGCUUUCAAGCAUAGCGUUCGA
rnacentral:rRNA from 1 species